AGAGGAAAAGGAGGAUAGAAGCAGUUUUCAGCAGCCAGGCUCUGUGAUGAGCUCUACCUGGUCAGGCUCCCUCCUAUAUCAGGGAUCUGUUGUCUCUAUACUGCCUUGGGGUGGUUGAGGUCGUUGGAUCAGAACCUUCUUAUGGUCCUGAGGUCAUCGCUUCUUCCAGGCCUUCGCGCUGCGGCUCUGCAAUGAUCUCCCGUUCUCAGUAUGCUCCCUUGACUGUGUUGAUGUUUUCAAGAGAAAACUUAUGACCCACUUGUUUCUCCAAGCAUUUUAACUAUGUGACAGGGUUGUACAGUAAAUGAUUUAUUUUUUGUAUUUUUUGUGUACUUUCUGUAAAGUACCCUGUGACCCUCCUUGUCUGUGAAAGGUGCUAUAUAAAUAAACUUUUACUUACUUUAA